UCAUAGGCUACUUACUCUGCUUAGAGCCAGCUUGGUGCAUAGACAGUAGGCUACCUGGCCUUGCGGUGUCUGAAUACAGAUAAUAUGAUGUGUCUGACUAUUAGACCUACAAGUGAUUUUCCUGCAGCUGUUUUGAACUAAAAUGGCGACACCAUCGGUUUCUAAUCGCUAAUGCAUUGAAGUACAGUAUUGAGUACAUAUCAUCGUUGGGACACCACGUUUUCAGCUUUUUGAUUGCAUGUCAGACAUGACAGCCUAAAUGAAAAACAACCUAUUUGGGUUAGAGUUUCUAUGAUGCAGGCUAUAUUUGACUGAUCCUCUUGUGAUUGUAUUCGUAGUCUACGUUUGGAUGCAUUUUUAUGCGGCUGCGUAAAUGCAGUCACCAAUGUUGCAGUCAGAUCACAUUUACCCCAAUUUAUGCAUUUUCGUCUAGGCCUAUUUCUAUAUUGACCAUGAGCAGCAGAGAAUGCAGAAUCCUUUAUGACCCCGAAAAUUAGGAUAGGCGACAAUAAAUCUGAAUCAAAAGGCUGAUAAUUUGGCUGUUUUUAUAUGCCGAGCACCACUAAAGGAAGUUCUCUCACUUGUUAUUUUUCAUUGAGAAUUGGCGAGGUUUUUGCACACAGAAACAAUAAGUCUACUGUAGGCUGUUUGUCAGGCUACCUCCUGCAUGAUAGGCUACAGUCCUGUAGAACCAACCAAACAUGAUCGUUUUGUCAUAACUUGGUAAUAAAAAAAUUGCAAUCAAUUCAACACGUAUCGCUUGAUCUAACCCAUCCCUCACUUGAGGACUACGAUGGAAGUGUUCGGUCAAAGUUGGAGAUAUAUUUCUAUUGGCCAAGCGAAGCUAAUCUCCUAGCAACGGCUUGGGCAGCGUUCCAAUUAGAAUCUCAAGUGAACUUUAAAAAACCUCAAGCUAGAACGUAGAAUGAUUGGCCUGCCAACCCUGCAACUGUGUAGCGUUUACCGUGUCCUUGAACCAAUAACGUUACAUUGUUGCAGUGGGUGGCGCUUAUGAGUUUCCUUCAGAAGUCGUUUUGAGCAGAGUACGUAGCACCUCUCCUAUGCAGGCAUUUAUUUUUCGUCGCUAAGCAAGUUGACGUUUUAUUUGUCAUAUCAGUAUAUUUUACCAGAUUUCGCUAACUGAGACACAUUUAUAUCCAUUGCCAAGCAAAGCUUUUUGCUAGGAAAUUUUUUAGAAAAAUAUUUGUUGCACUUUCUGUGGUUUUUGAGUGGUAGUCUAUACCACAUUUUGCAGUUCGCUUCUGUGGAGCGUUUUAAUUUCACGGGAUAUAGAAAAUAGAUGUUGUUUAACCUACUGAGUGUGUAUGUUAUUGUGCUGGACUGUGGCUAUGACAGACGUUUAAGUUAUUAUUUAUGCGCGUCUAUAUUAAAGUAAAGGGAAUACAGCAAACAAUUGCCGUUAAACUUGACUUGGUAACUCAUUGUUGGCUCAAGUCGCUAUCAGAAUGACCGAGGACAAUGUCACAAGUAAAAGUAUUGAAAUCAUCAAAGAUCAACUGUAUUUCGCCAUACUGCAGCAGAAGAUAAAAAGCACAGCUGACAGACAUUUCUUCUGCAUAGACGAAGAGCUGUCAUAUGAAAACUUCUAUGCAGACUUUGGCCCGCUCAACCUGGCCAUGUUUUAUCGCUUUUGUUGCAAGCUCACUAAAAAGCUCAAGUCAUUCACUCUAGCAAAGAAGAAGAUAGUAUUUUAUACUUGUGGCGAUAAUAAGAAACAAGCCAAUGCUGCCUAUCUUAUUGGUUCAUAUGCAGUGAUGCAUCUGCAGAAGACGCCAGAGGAAGCCUACAGUCUACUGGUGUCCAGGAACUCUACCUACCUGCCCUUCAGAGAUGCCUCUUUUGGAACCUGCGUGUACAAUCUGAACAUUCUAGACUGCCUGCGUGCCAUAUACAAGGCUCUGCAGUUUGGCUGGCUCGAUUUCUCCCAGUUUGAUGUGGAGGAAUACGAACAUUACGAGAGAGCAGAAAAUGGAGAUUUCAACUGGAUAAUUCCUGGGAAGUUCCUAGCGUUCAGUGGUCCUCAUCCAAAAAGCAGAAUAGAGAAUGGUUACCCUCUCCAUGCCCCCGAGGCCUACUUUCCUUAUUUCAGGAAACACAACAUCACAGCCAUCGUCCGUCUCAACAAGAAGAUGUACGACGCCAAGCGCUUCACAGACAUGGGCUUCGAGCACCACGACCUCUUCUUCGUGGACGGUAGCACGCCAAAUGACUCCAUUGUCAGGAAGUUCCUCAACAUCUGUGAGAACGCAGACGGAGCUAUCGCUGUUCACUGCAAAGCGGGUCUGGGUCGAACAGGCACUCUGAUAGGCUGCUACAUGAUGAAGCACUACCGCCUGACUGCGUCCGAGGCCAUUGCCUGGAUGAGGAUCUGCCGGCCCGGAUCCGUCAUCGGACCACAACAAAACUUUGUGGAAGAUAAGCAGAGCAGCCUGUGGUCGGAGGGAGAUGUUUUCCGGGAGAAGAUGAACAAGCAGGAGAACGGCAAGCUGGCUGUCACCAGGAUCCUGUCAGGGGUUGAUGACAUCACUAUCAACGGCAGCAACAAAAACAGGACGUCCGAAAAGGAAGAGACAGAACUGUAUAGUGACGAUGAGGAGAGAAAUGGCAUCACGCAGGGUGAUAAACUGCGAGCCCUGAAGAGCAAGAGGCAGGCGAGAACAUCCACAGGCUCCCUAUCACAAGAAGAGAACAAGAUUCACACCAGGUCCUCGUCGCAGUCUUUAAGGAUUCUCCUGCAGUCUAGUGGGCCCGAUGCCUCAGACAAUAGGAAGAGAACCAGAACCUCGCUGCCUGCCAACAGUGUGGGGGGCAGCUCCCUGUGCCACUCCAGACUAGCCAGGUCUCUAGGCAGCAUGCAUGUAGUGGCCAGCGACAGAGAAACAGUGUGCUGUGAGUCCAGUGGCUGCCAUAGAGACACAGCUGCCAACGCAGGCAGCCCAGUCAGCACAGGCAAUCUGUCCAACCUAAACAUGCUGCAGGCCCCUCAGAAGGCAAGCCCACCUAGCCUCUCUUCAACCCCGUUCUCUGGGCUCAACCUCACUCUCUCCUACUCUGUUGGUCCUCCACACACCAAGGUCUACUUAACUGAGCCUUUGCAUUUCACAUGACCUUCCAAACACUUUCAAGCUCCCUUCAACACACCGCCUCAAACAAUUGAACACUCUCUCCAGUGCUUCACACUCCCUAUGGCUCCAUGCAUGUUCUAUUGGAAUGGAUGAUUCAAGAGUGUGACUGGCUAUAGCUUCUCUGGACUUUACUGCUCACACUGUCUCCUUGUUUUCAGACACCGGCAACCUGUUAUUGGCUGUUUGUGAUUCUGCUGACAUAAAUCAUUGUUCUACGAGGGGAAUCACAUUUCCCUUUGCUUCCCCCUCUUUUCUUCUUUUUAAUGUCCCUCUUAACAGACACACGUCCAGAGGACGGAAAACUCGAUGUUCUUUACAAUCAAUGCGCUUUACGAGACUAUGUCACUCCAUACCCAAAGCUAGAGCUCCUCAACUGCG